GAUGAACGCUGGCGGCGUGCCUAAUACAUGCAAGUCGAGCGAACAGAUGAGGAGCUUGCUCCUCUGACGUUAGCGGCGGACGGGUGAGUAACACGUGGAUAACCUACCUAUAAGACUGGGAUAACUUCGGGAAACCGGAGCUAAUACCGGAUAAUAUAUUGAACCGCAUGGUUCAAUAGUGAAAGACGGUUUUGCUGUCACUUAUAGAUGGAUCCGCGCCGCAUUAGCUAGUUGGUAAGGUAACGGCUUACCAAGGCAACGAUGCGUAGCCGACCUGAGAGGGUGAUCGGCCACACUGGAACAGAGACACGGUCCAGACUCCGACGGGAGGCAGCAGUAGGGAAUCUUCCGCAAUGGGCGAAAGCCUGACGGAGCAACGCCGCGUGAGUGAUGAAGGUCUUCGGAUCGUAGAACUCUGUUAUUAGGGAAGAACAAAUGUGUAAGUAACUAUGCACGUCUUGACGGUACCUAAUCAGAAAGCCACGGCUAACUACGUG
rnacentral:rRNA from 1 species